AUGCGAAUAUUCGAAGACUAUAAAACUUCUGAAGUAGUGAUUUGCCUAACGUGCUUUGAGGCCUUGUUACCUUACAGCAACAACAUCUGAAUAUUCACCAGUAUCCCACAGUGACGCAAAGGUAAGGACAAAAUAUGAAGGGAGCCUAAAGAAUGCAGUGCUGUCGAAGAACACUUGCCUUUGCGGUGGUAAUGCUCAUCGCUUCUCUUCUUCUCUUCGCAGACGGUGUGUGUGCCAAGAAAAUUAAGAAAAUGAUGAAAGAAUUUGAUUUCUUAAUGGACAAACUGCAUGAAAUAUUUUGAACGGACGCCUUAAUAUCAUUUUACAUGCCUCUAUGUGUUGUCAAGAUAUGUGUCUGCUCAAAAUUCUCUGUGCAUGGGCACGAUGUGAAAUGAAUUAAACCAAAGAAAGAAAAGAUUAAUAAAGAUGCGCGGUCCUUGGA